CCUACGGGAGGCAGCAGUGGGGAAUAUUGCGCAAUGGGCGAAAGCCUGACGCAGCGACGCCGCGUGAGGGAUGAAGGUCUUCUGAUCGUAAACCUCUGUCAGCAGGGAAGAACGGUCACUGUGCUAAUCAGCAGUGAAUUGACGGUACCUGCAAAGGAAGCACCGGCUAACUCCGUGCCAGCAGCCGCGGGAAUACGGCGGGUGCGAGCGUUAAUCGGAAUUACUGGGCGUAAAGCGCUCGUAGGCGGUAUGUCAAGUCAAGGGGUAAAUCCCCGCGCUCAACGUGGGAACUGCCUUUGAAACUGGCAAACUGGAGUGUGUGAGAGGAUAGUGGAAUGCCAGGUGUAGGAGUGAAAUCCGGAGAUAUCUGGAGGAACAUCAGUGGCGAAGGCGACUAUCUGGCACAUAACUGACGCUGAGGAGCGAAAGCGUGGGUAGCAAACAGGAUUAGAUACCCGAGUAGUC
rnacentral:rRNA from 1 species